AACGAACGCUGGCGGCAUGCCUAACACAUGCACGUCGAACGAGACCUUCGGGUCUAGUGGCGCACGGGUGCGUAACGCGUGGGAACCUGCCCUUAGGUUCGGAAUAACUCCCCGAAAGGGGUGCUAAUACCGGAUAAUGUCUUCGGACCAAAGAUUUAUCGCCUUUGGAUGGGCCCGCGUUGGAUUAGCUAGUUGGUAGGGUAAAAGCCUACCAAGGCGACGAUCCAUAGCUGGUCUGAGAGGAUGAUCAGCCACACUGGGACUGAGACACGGCCCAGACUCCUACGGGAGGCAGCAGUGGGGAAUAUUGGACAGUGGGCGAAAGCCUGAUCCAGCAAGGCCGCGUGAGUGAUGAAGGCCUUAGGGUUGUAAAGCUCUUUUACCCGGGAUGAUAAUGACAGUACCGGGAGAAUAAGCUCCGGCUAACUCCGUG
rnacentral:rRNA from 1 species